AUUGAACGCUGGCGGCAGGCUUAACACAUGCAAGUCGAGCGGGGAAGGGUAGCUUGCUACCUGACCUAGCGGCGGACGGGUGAGUAAUGCUUAGGAAUCUGCCUAUUAGUGGGGGACAACAUUCCGAAAGGAAUGCUAAUACCGCAUACGCCCUACGGGGGAAAGCAGGGGAUCUUCGGACCUUGCGCUAAUAGAUGAGCCUAAGUCGGAUUAGCUAGUUGGUGGGGUAAAGGCCUACCAAGGCGACGAUCUGUAGCGGGUCUGAGAGGAUGAUCCGCCACACUGGGACUGAGACACGGCCCAGGCUCCUACGGGAGGCAGCAGUGGGGAAUAUUGGACAAUGGGCGGAAGCCUGAUCCAGCCAUGCCGCGUGUGUGAAGAAGGCCUUUUGGUUGUAAAGCACUUUAAGCGAGGAGGAGGCUACUGGUACUAAUACUACUGGAUAGUGGACGUUACUCGCAGAAUAAGCACCGGCUAACUCUGUGCCAGCCGCCGCAGUAAUAC
rnacentral:rRNA from 1 species